AUUUGAUGAUAAAAACAAAGGAAGUGGGUAGGAGCAAAGCUGCCGUGGAAUAAUGAAAUGAUGUCAGAUAGUAACUUGAAUCCUUAGGGGAAAAAAAGUGGACCUAAAAUGGAGAACACAAGGAUUUGGGAGAAAGAUGAGAAGUUCAAAUCAGGUUUAUGAUGAUUUUGAAGUGCCUAUAAAACAAGGUCAUGCUGAUGCAGGAAGUGGGCUCCCAUGGCCUUGAACAGCUCCACUCCUGUGGUUUUGCAGCGUAUAGCACCCCCGGCUGCCUUCAUGACUAGAGUUGAGUGUCUGCUGCUUUUCCAGG